rnacentral:rRNA from 1 species
UACGGAGGGUGCGAGCGUUGUCCGGAAUCACUGGGCGUAAAGGGCGCGUAGGCGGCCUGGUAAGUAGGGGGUGAAAUCCUGCGGCUUAACCGCAGGGCUGCCUUCUAAACUGUCAGGCUCGAGCACGGUAGAGGCAGAUGGAAUUCCCGGUGUAGCGGUGGAAUGCGCAGAUAUCGGGGGGAACACCAAUGGCGAAGGCAGCUCGCUGGGACGGUACUGACGCUGAGACGCGAAAGCGUGGGGAGCAAACAGG